ACACUUCCGUUCAAUGCACUGGAAGCUACUGGCUUCAUUUUGUGCUCAGAUCUGCACAGUGAUGAUAGGAGUCCACAUCAUUCCCACCCAGAGCAGGUGUGGCUAUCUUAGGGUGGGGACAUUGUCCCGAACUGUGACAUUUUGGCAACAGUAGCUCUGAGCCAAAACGUUGUGGUUUAAACAGCUUGAAUCCAAAUUCCUGAAAAACACUCACAGUGCUGCCAUCUUUUAGAUAAGAUGCUAAAUUAACGCUGAACCACUCUCACAGAUGCAUACGAAAGAUUACCCUGCAUUGUUUGAUGAGCAGGAGAGUUAUCUAUGCUAAUCUAGACAAUAUUUUCCUUUCAAUCAAUGUAA